rnacentral:misc_RNA from 1 species
UGCCGGCUGGCUCCGUGCCCGUCCACCGAACGGCCGGCAGGCGAUCCGCAUCGGUAGUGCGGGCGGUAUGGUUCCCCAGAGGCCGGUUCUUGUGCUGCCUACCCGUUCAGGGGAAGCGGUCCACUUGUUGUAAGCCUCCAUCCGGCGCCUUCCAAUGGGCGCAGGAGGACAACGGAGCACCCCCCGCGUUCCACCGAGCCCUUCCUCGGUCGCGUGGCCCGCGGGGACGUGCGACGCUCUCGGACCCAGCGAACGCCGUGGGCGGGGACUCACGUCCCAGUCCCGAUAGAAGCUCCGGCAUAAUGCUGACGGCCGCUCCCGCCCCCCGACCGCCCCGGCGGCGCGAGGGCGAGGCGCGGCGUCGCGGAGGAAUGCUACCU